rnacentral:rRNA from 1 species
CAAGACGCGUGAUACAAUGGACAAGACAAAGGGCAUCGAAACAGCAAGGUCAAGCAAAGCCCAUAAAGUUGUUCUAGGUUAGGAUUAUAGUCUGCAACACGACUACAUGAAGCUGGAAGCGCUAGUAAUCGAAGCUCUGCGUGCUGCGGAGAAUACGGUCCCGGGUCUUGUACACACCGCCCGUCACUCCGCGGGAGUUUGUAACACCCGAAGCCGGUGGAGUAGCCAUUUUGGAGAUAGCCGUCGAAGGU